GAUUCAUGACUGGGGUGAAGUCGUAACAAGGUAACCGUAGGGGAACCUGCGGUUGGAUCACCUCCUUACCUGCAAGA
rnacentral:rRNA from 1 species